UACGUAGGGGGCAAGCGUUGUCCGGAUUUAUUGGGCGUAAAGAGCGUGUAGGCGGCCAUACAGGUCCGUUGUGAAAACUCGAGGCUCAACCUCGAGCUGUCGGUGGAAACUGUCUGGCUAGAGUCCGGAAGAGGAGAGUGGAAUUCCUGGUGUAGCGGUGAAAUGCGCAGAUAUCAGGAAGAACACCUAUGGCGAAGGCAGCUCUCUGGGACGGUACUGACGCUGAGACGCGAAAGCGUGGGGAGCGAACAGG
rnacentral:rRNA from 1 species